rnacentral:rRNA from 1 species
UACGGGGGGGGGCAAGCGUUGUUCGGAAUUACUGGGCGUAAAGGCUCGUAGGCGGCCAACUAAGUCAGACGUGAAAUCCCUCGGCUUAACCGGGGAACUGCGUCUGAUACUGGAUGGCUUGAGAUUGGGAGAGGGAUGCGGAAUUCCAGGUGUAGCGGUGAAAUGCGUAGAUAUCUGGAGGAACACCGGUGGCGAAGGCGGCAUCCUGGACCAACACUGACGCUGAGGAGCGAAAGCCAGGGGAGCAAACGGG